rnacentral:rRNA from 1 species
CCAGUAGUGGCGAAUGAAGCGGGAAAAGCUCAAGUUUGAAAUCUGGUAGGUAAAACUGUCCAGAGUUGUAAGCUGGAGAGGCGAUGUCCGACGCGGUCCAGGCUCAAUUUCCUUGGAACAGGAGGUCAUGGAGGGUGAGAACCCCGUACAUGGCUUGGGUACCGCCGUCCUUGUGACGCGUCCUCUAAGAGUCGGGUUGUUUGGGAAUGCAGCUCAAAAUGGGUGGUAAAUUUCAUCUAAAGCUAAAUAUUGGCGAGAGACCGAUAGCAAACAAGUAGAGUGAUCGAAAGAUGAAAAGUACUUUGAAAAGAGAGUGAAACAGUACGUGAAAUUGUUGAAAGGGAAGCGUUUGGCAUCAGCCCAUGGCGGUGGUCGAACAUCUGGGCUUCUGCCUAGUGCACUCGGCCGCCGUUGGGCCAGCGUCGGCUCUGCCUGCCGGAGAAAGGCCUUGGGGAAGUGGCUCUCUUCGGGGAGCGUUAUAACCCUUGGUGUCAUGCGGCUGGGCGGGGCCGAGGUCCGCGGUUUAUUCCUAGGACGCUGGCGUAAUGGUUCCA